CCGUGAUGAAGUCGGGGGGUAGAGCGGGAUACACGGAAGGACCAAAGAAUAUGAGCUCUUGAAGCUGGUCGGAUUGGUAACGUACAUCCAAAUCCAACCCAGCAGCUCUCCCAGCAAGUGCGGCAUUGUCAUCUUUCAGAGUCAGAACCUCUUCUUCCGCACUCGCGAGCUCGUUUUUUAGCUCAGUAGUUUCUCGUUGGCUCUGAGCAGCUUGCUUCUUUAACUCCACUAUCGUAGCCUCAAGCGAGGCUACGUGCCCUCUUUCACUAGCUAGUUGGCUCUUCAGAUCUUCAGUGUCCUUAACACGGCCAGAACUAGCAGCUUUCAGAUCUUUUCGGAGUGCCAAGAUCUUCGCGACAUAGUCAUCAAUCUCUUUCUGCUUGGACUCAAUAGUUUUGUCCUUCUUGGGCAGAAUGUUGUCGCGAAGGUUCUCC
rnacentral:lncRNA from 1 species